CACUUUGGGAGGAUUUUAAAAUGCUUACCCACAAGCUCUUGAUAUCACUAGCCCUAUCAUCCAGGAAAACUUUCUGCAUUAUCAAUAUCAUAAAGCAUAGGAAUUAAAUGAGUAUAUUAUUAUCACAAAAAACAACAAUGAUAUGGUCAAAGAAGGUAAAAAAAAUUGGCCCAGGAACAACAACAUAAAAGGAGAACAGUUAUAGGAGUUCAAAGUCUUUAAUCAAAAUCCGAUGUAGAAGGAACAGAUUGUGGAGAUGGAUUCUCUAACCACCAACAUAUAUUAACUCUCUAUUUAUUGCAGCUUUAGAACAAUUUAAGAUAUUGUGAACUGAACAUCAGUUAAUGAAGCAAGUAUCAAUAGAAACUAAAUGAAUGGGACCGUCAAUCGAAAAUGAAAUGUUACGUGAAUAAGAACCAACAAACCUGAAGCGUACCACGAGGAAUAGUAACCACCUCCCAUUUAUCUCUGAAAGUGUCUCUUCCCUUCUUCAAGAAUUUCAAUGCUCUAACAACCUGCAAAUCAUAUUACACCAAAAAUUAUAGUAUCGAAAUUCUUCCACAAGAAAGUGAUGGGAUAAAAAAGAUCAUUGAGCUAACCUUCAAGUACAAAUAAUAGGUACAUUAAGAAUUCACUCACGUAUACAUAAACUAGUUGGAAGUACAGGGUAAAUAAAAAAUAUAAACACCAAAACCAUUUUUAUACAAAUCUACAUGAAGUGUACAUUAAGAUAUCUAACUACAGACAAGGCAAUUUAACUACAUACAAGGUAGCCCACCAUUUUUUUGUAGUGUAAGAUUGGGUAUGCAAACAAUCAUUCAUAUAUGUAAAAAAGUGAAAACAUGCAAGGCCUAUCCUAGAUAUAGCUUAUAAACACAUAAAAAAUAUAGCCUACAAACAAUUUUAUAUGAUACAGACUUGACAUAGCACCACUAUGAACAACUAAAAAUGAUAGCAGAACAAAGGAAAAAAUUGUAAAUACAACAUAUUGUUAAUGCUUCUAACCUGUGCCACGCUUGCUCAUAGCAGAAGAUUGAACUUUUCAUGAGCUUCACAGUAGGAUAAUCACUUGUUCCAUCUGUAUCACCGACUCACUUCAAAUAUUGAACAGCAAACACUGUUN
rnacentral:lncRNA from 1 species